AGGAGCUGUUCACAUUUCAGUUCUUUGGUUAUUUAAGCAGCGGCGUCUGGUUGAAGUAGCAGCAAACCACUCUUAACAUCUCUGACCAUGUGACGCCUGGUUGCAUCUUAAAAAGUAGUGACAGUCUUCUGGGAAGCUCCACGCAGCUGCGGACUCCUUGUGGCGACUGACUGCGUGAACAACAAACCCACACAGCUGCUUCUCCAACACUUCCACCACCGCCGGGGCGUUCCCCUUCUUCCCCUGGCCCUCCAUCACCUGCUGGAUGCAGUCCCGAGGCACCGGCUGUGGUUUGGUGCUGUAUGACACCACCAGGUUGAUGUUGUUCACCUGCAGCACUUCGAACCAGUUCUGCCCCGCCACGUGGUGGAAAUGCUCCCCUGCUCUCCAGUUCCGGAGGUGUUUGGCGUCUAAUUUUGCUUGCUCGGGGAAAGCAGCAAUGCAUGACUCGAUGGUUGUCUUCAUCCUGGUCUCUACUUCUUGAAUUUUGCUGUUCCACUCUUGGAUUUUGUCGUCUUCUUCCUCUUGGCGCUGGGUUAAGGCACAGUGGCCCAGCAGAGCGAUCAGGCCCAAACAGAUGAGCUCCUUCAUCCGGACACAGAAAUCUUCCAGGAGACGACGGUUCCUCGCUACAUACCUGGAAAACAAAGAACCAUUUACAUGUAUGUUUUAUGGUUCUCCAAUCCAGAGAAACCUUUAGU